UACGAAGGGGGCUAGCGUUGUUCGGAAUUACUGGGCGUAAAGCGCACGUAGGCGGGUCGUUAAGUCGGGGGUGAAAUCCUGGAGCUCAACUCCAGAACUGCCUUCGAUACUGGCGACCUAGAGUCCGGAAGAGGUGAGUGGAACUCCUAGUGUAGAGGUGGAAUUCGUAGAUAUUAGGAAGAACACCAGUGGCGAAGGCGGCUCACUGGCCCGGUACUGACGCUGAGGUGCGAAAGCGUGGGGAGCAAACAGG
rnacentral:rRNA from 1 species